GGGCAAGUGGUGGAAUGGCAUACACGAUGGACUUAAAAUCCAUUGGCCGUAAGGCUGUGAGGGUCCGACUCCCUCCUUGCCCA
rfam:Omnitrophica WOR_2 bacterium SM23_72 WORSMTZ_782, whole genome shotgun sequence.